rnacentral:misc_RNA from 1 species
AAUACCUCUCAAGCAAAUUUGCUUGGUCGUGGAAGAUGAGUAUGCUUGCAUUCUCACUUCUGAAAUUCAAAGGCGGAUGAUCUCAUAUCCCCAGGUGUAGUAAGUUAAUCUUUUCGCUUGGUGCAUGCGAUUGUCCUGCCGUUGACCCCCAUGUUUUCAA